rnacentral:rRNA from 1 species
UAAAAAGCUCGUAGUUGGAUUUUGGGCGCAGGCGGCCGGUCCGUCGCAAGGCGUGUACUGGCCGUCCUGGCCUCACCUCCGGUUCUCCGCCGGUGCCCUUGACUGAGUGUCGGCGGCGGCCGGAACGUUUACUUUGAAAAAAUUAGAGUGUUCAAAGCAGGCGAUUCGCCUGAAUAAUGGUGCAUGGAAUAAUGGAAUAGGACCUCGGUUCUAUUUUGUUGGUUUUCGGAGCGCGAGGUAAUGAUUAAGAGGGACAGACGGGGGCAUUCGUACUGUGCCGUUAGAGGUGAAAUUCUUGGAUCGGCGCAAGACGAACGACUGCGAAAGCAUUUGCCAAGAAUGUUUUCUUUAAUCAAGAGCGAAAGUCAGAGGUUCGAAGACGAUCAGAUACCGUCCUAGUUCUGACUAUAAACGAUGCCAACUAGCGAUCGGGGGGCGUUAGUUUUACGACCUCUCCGGCAGCUUGCGGGAAACCAAAGUCUUUGGGUUCCGGGGGAAGUAUGGUUGCAAAGCUGAAACUUAAAGGAAUUGACGGAAGGGCACCACCAGGAGUGGAGCCUGCGGCUUAAUUUGACUCAACACGGGAAAUCUCACCCGGCCCGGACACAGUGAGGAUUGACAGAUUGAGAGCUCUUUCUUGAUUCUGUGGGUGGUGGUGCAUGGCCGUUCUUAGUUGGUGGAGCGAUUUGUCUGGUUAAUUCCGAUAACGAACGAGACUCUGGCUUGCUAACUAGUUACGCGACCCAAUCGGUCGGCGUCUAACUUCUUAGAGGGACUAGUGGCGUUUAGCCACACGAGAUUGAGCAAUAACAGGUCUGUGAUGCCCUUAGAUGUUCGGGGCCGCACGCGCGCUACACUGACCGGAUCAGCAUGUGCUCGCCUUGGCCGACAGGUCUGGGUAACCCGCUGAACCCCGGUCGUGCUAGGGAUAGGGAAAUUGCAAUUAUUUCCCUUGAACGAGGAAUUCCCAGU